AUGGCUUCUUGCUUAACUCGCUGGGUUCAGAUUUUUGUGUUUCCCCCUCCUUGUUUCCGUCUGAUUUGUUAUUUGAUUCUUCAUCUCUCAGCGGUUUCUCGCUGGACUCGCUGGGUUCAGAUUUUUGUGUUUCAACCUUCUCAAAUUCGUCCUGAUUUGUCUUUUGAUUCUUUAUCUUCUGCCGGCUUCUCGCUGAACUUCUUAGGUUCAGAUUUGUCCGUUCUCACCUUUUCGAUUCUGUCUGAUUUGUUUUUUGAUUCUUCAUCUCUCAGCAGUUUCUCGCUGGACUCGCUGGGUUCAGAUUUGUCUGUUUCAUCUUUUGAUUCUUUAUCUUCUGGCGGCUUCUCGCUGGACUCGCUAGGUUCCGAUUUGUCCGUUCUCACCUUUUCGAUUCUGUCUGAUUUGUUUUUUGAUUUUUUAUCUUCUGCUGGUUUCUCGCUGGGCUCCGAUUUGUCCGUUCUCACCUCUUUGAUUUUGUCAGUUUUGUCAUUUGAUUCUUUUUUUUCCAGGAGCUUCUCGCUGGGUUCAGAUUUGUCCGUCUUCACCUCCUGGAUUUUGUCGAAUCCUUUAUCUUCUGGCAGCUUCUCGCUGGGUUCAGAUUUGCUUUCCUUCACCUCCUUGAUUUCGUCAGAUUCCUUCUCUUGCGGCGGCUCCUCGCUGGCUUCCAGCCUCUUCACUUCAGCCGGAUCAUCGGAUGUUUCUCCAGCAGCCUGAACUCGCUGCGUUUCCUUCGUGUCCUCCACCGUUUGGCUCCGUGGAGGCUCAGAUUCUUCCGUUUUCCCCUUUUCCAUGAUUUUCUGUGGGAUAUUCGAAUCCGGUUCUUUGGAGGCGACUUCGUGAUUUAAAUUCAAGUUCUUUGAUUCUGUUUCCGAUGUUUCCUUCAGAACUGGAGUUCUGUUCUCACAGGAUUCGUCUGUUUUCGGUUCCUGUGUGAUGACGUUUGUGGAACUGUUUGUGUCCUUACAUGGUGUAGAAGAAGAUUCUUCUCUGUUUUUCGUUUCUUCUAGAAGGCUUUUCCUCUCGUCGUCUUGAUGUGAUGUCACUUCCUUUUGGGCCUCUGCGGCGCUCCCGUCGACCUUCUGGUUUUGCGAGCCGUCGUCCCUCACAGCUUCUUCGCUCCUCUGCUCCUCAUCACGCUGCGUCUUCAGGGGCUGAACUUCCCCGUUAACGUGGUCGCUCAGUCUCUGGAUCUUCUCCGUGGAAACCUCCUUCUGGUUGCAGACGGUCGGGUUUUGAACUCCUAUCGAGCCGUUUUCGCUGAACUUCAUCCCGCGUUUUUUCAGAGGGAUUUUGGCUUCGUUCUUUAGGGUUUGCUGGAUCUCCUCUGAGCUGCUCUUCUUCGGCUCCUCCGCUUUCUCCGUUUUCACGGUCAACGCCGACGUCGGUUCAGUCGAGUUUGACUUAACGUCCCACGCCUCCGUGGACUCCUGCUUGAUGGUCUGCGCCUCCACUUGGAUGUUCUCUGAGGAGAUUUGUGCCUCGGCUUUGCUUUCCACGACGCCGUUUAAAGAGGUUUUCACCUCAGCAUCUUCAGGUUUCGCCUCAUCUUUCUGUGCUGAUUCGUCGUCGCUUUUGGACUUUGAAGAAAUCGGACAAACGUCCUUCUUUGAGUCAUUAUGUUCUUCAUCUGACGUGUCUUCAGCCUUUUUAGCGUCACCUGCAGAAGAUGAAAAUAAAGAAUAAAGAUUUGACUUUUUUUUCCCCAAUUUUCAGUUGCAACACUAAUAAUUUCACCAUUUUUUAACUUUA
ensembl:lncRNA